UACGUAGGGUGCAAGCGUUGUCCGGAAUUAUUGGGCGUAAAGAGCGUGUAGGCGGCCCGAUUAGUCUGCUGUGAAAGUCCAGGGCUCAACCCUGGAAAGCCGGUGGAUACUGUCGGGCUCGAGUCCGGAAGAGGCGAGUGGAAUUCCUGGUGUAGCGGCGGAAUGCGCAGAUAUCAGGAGGAACACCAAUGGCGAAGGCAGCUCGCUGGGACGGUACUGACGCUAAGGCGCGAAAGCGUGGGGAGCAAACAGG
rnacentral:rRNA from 1 species